UACGUAGGGUGCAAGCGUUGUCCGGAAUUAUUGGGCGUAAGAGCUCGUAGGCGGUCUGUCGCGUCUGCUGUGAAAACUCAGGGCUUAACCCUGAGCUUGCAGUGGGUACGGGCAGACUAGAGUGCGGUAGGGGAGACUGGAAUUCCUGGUGUAGCGGUGAAAUGCGCAGAUAUCAGGAGGAACACCGGUGGCGAAGGCGGGUCUCUGGGCCGAUACUGACGCUGGAGGAGCGAAAAGCGUGGGGGAGCGAACAGG
rnacentral:rRNA from 1 species